rnacentral:rRNA from 1 species
UACGUAGGCAGCGAGCGUUGUUCGGAGUUACUGGGCGUAAAGGGUGUGUAGGCGGUUGUUUAAGUUUGGUGUGAAAUCUCCCGGCUUAACUGGGAGGGUGCGCCGAAUACUGAAUGACUAGAGUGCGGGAGAGGUGAGUGGAAUUCCUGGUGUAGCGGUGAAAUGCGUAGAUAUCAGGAGGAACACCGGCGGUGUAGACGGCUCACUGGACCGUAACUGACGCUGAGGCACGAAAGCGUGGGUAGCAAACAGG